rnacentral:rRNA from 1 species
UACGUAGGCAGCGAGCGUUGUUCGGAAUUACUGGGCGUAAAGAGUGUGUAGGCGGUGUUCCCAGUCUGUUGUGAAAUCUCCCGGCUUAACUGGGAGGGUGCAGCGGAAACUAGAAUGCUAGAGGGUGGGAGAGGUAAGCGGAAUUCCUGGUGUAGCGGUGAAAUGCGUAGAUAUCAGGAGGAACACCGGUGGCGAAGGCGGUUCUCUGGGCCUGUACUGACGCUGAGGAGCGAAAGCGUGGGGAGCGAACAGG